GAAAUGCGAUACGUAAUUUGAAUUGCAGAAUUCAGUGAAUCAUCUAAUCUUUGAACGCACCUUGCGCUCCUUGGUAUUCCUUGGAGCAUGCCUGUUUGAGUAUCAUGAAAUCUUCAAAGUAAAUCUUUUGUUAACUCAAUUGGUUUCUACUUUGGUAUUGGAGGUCUUUGCAGCUUCACACCUGCUCCUCUUUGUUCAUUAGCUGGAUCUCAGUGUUAUGCUUGGUUCCACUCGGCGUGAUAAGUUAUCUAUCGCUGAGGACACUGUAAAAGGUGGCCAAGGUAAAUGCAGAUGAACCGCUUCUAAUAGUCCAUUGACUUGGACAAUACUUUUAUGAUCUGAUCUCAAAUCAGGUAGGACUACCCGCUGAACUUAAGC
rnacentral:misc_RNA from 1 species